rnacentral:rRNA from 1 species
UACGUAGGGUGCAAGCGUUGUCCGGAAUUAUUGGGCGUAAAGAGCUUGUAGGCGGUUUGUCGCGUCUGCUGUGAAAUUUCGGGGCUCAACCCCGAACUUGCAGUGGGUACGGGCAGACUAGAGUGUGGUAGGGGAGACUGGAAUUCCUGGUGUAGCGGUGAAAUGCGCAGAUAUCAGGAGGAACACCGAUGGCGAAGGCAGGUCACUGGGC